CUACGUGCCAGCAGCCGCGGUAAUACGUAGGUCCCGAGCGUUGUCCGGAUUUAUUGGGCGUAAAGCGAGCGCAGGCGGUUAGAUAAGUCUGAAGUUAAAGGCUGUGGCUUAACCAUAGUACGCUUUGGAAACUGUUUAACUUGAGUGCAAGAGGGGAGAGUGGAAUUCCAUGUGUAGSCGGUGAAAUGCGUAGAUAUAUGGAGGAACACCGGUGGCGAAAGCGGCUCUCUGGCUUGUAACUGACGCUGAGGCUCGAAAGCGUGGGGAGCAAACAGGAUUAGAUACCCUGGUAGUCCACSCCGUAAACGAUGAGUGCUAGGUGUUAGACCCUUUCCGGGGUUUAGUGCCGCAGCUAACGCAUUAAGCACUCCGCCUGGGGAGUACGACCGCAAGGUUGAAACUCAAAGGAAUUGACGGGGGCCCGCACAAGCGGUGGAGCAUGUGGUUUAAUUCGAUGCAACGCGAAGAACCUUACCUGGUCUUGACAU
rnacentral:rRNA from 1 species